rnacentral:lncRNA from 1 species
CGGCAAUGGUUUAUAUAUAUAUAUAUGUAAAUGUUAAAAAAAUGUUACAACACUCUGAUGUUGUCACAGACUAAUCUAUUCCAAUCAGAUUAACAAAUCAUAGACCCACACAAUAAUAUAAUCUAUUGGACAGACAAAUCAUAGACCCACACAAUAAUACAAUCUAUUGGACAGACAAAUCAUAGACCCACACAAUAAUACAAUCUAUUGGACAGACAAAUCAUAGACCCACACAAUUAUGCAAUCAAUUAAUAGGCAAUCUAUUUGACCACACAAUAAUACAAUCUUUUUAUACGCCCGGGACGGGACGUAUUAUGGUAUACCGUUGUCCGUCCGUCCGUCGUCCACACUUCGGACAAUAACUCAAAAACACUUUCACCAAUUUCCAAGAAACUUUGGUGAAUUGUUUAUAUCUAUUGACGUAAGCUCCCUUUCG